GGCCCAGUGGUGUAUGGAGCAUAUCCGCAGCUCAUGGGUGUAGAGAGAGAUGUUUUACGGAAGGGCCUUGUUCGAUUCGGGGCUGGGUCA